rnacentral:rRNA from 1 species
GACGUAGGGCGCGAGCGUUGUCCGGAUUUAUUGGGCGUAAAGAGCUUGUAGGCGGUUUGUCGCGUCUGCUGUGAAAAUCCGGGGCUCAACCCCGGACUUGCAGUGGGUACGGGCAGACUAGAGUGUGGUAGGGGAGACUGGAAUUCCUGGUGUAGCGGUGAAAUGCGCAGAUAUCAGGAGGAACACCGAUGGUGAAGGCAGGUCUCUGGGCCGAUACUGACGCUGAGGAGCGAAAGCAUGGGUAGCGAACAGG